rfam:Camelus ferus unplaced genomic scaffold scaffold1616, whole genome shotgun sequence.
GAGGGUAUAGCUCAAGUGGUAGAGCACAUGCUUAGCAUGCAUGAGGUCCUGGGUUCAAUGCCCAGUACCUCCU